rnacentral:rRNA from 1 species
UACGGAGGGUGCAAGCGUUAUCCGGAUUCACUGGGUUUAAAGGGUGCGCAGGCGGCAGAGCGCGUCCACGCUGAAAUCUGUUGGCUUAACUGACAGGCGCGUGUGGAUACGGCUCAGCUCGAGGCACGGAGAGGGUGGGGGAACUCCUGGUGUGGUGGUGAAAUGCGUAGAGAUCAGGAAGAACACCCGUGGCGAAGGCGGCUCUCUGGGACGGUACUGACGCUGAGACGCGAAAGCGUGGGGAGCGAACAGG